AACGAACGCUGGCGGCGCGCCUAAUUCAUGCAAGUCGAGCGAGAAGACGUAGCAAUACGUUUGUAAAGCGGCGAACGGGUGAGGAAUACAUGGGUAACCUACCCUCGAGUGGGGAAUAACUAGCCGAAAGGUUAGCUAAUACCGCGUACGCUCCUUGACUUCGGUUCAGGGAGGAAAGCGAUACCGUGGGUAUCGCGCUCUUGGAUGGGCUCAUGUCCUAUCAGCUUGUUGGUGAGGUAACGGCUCACCAAGGCUUCGACGGGUAGCUGGUCUGAGAGGACAAUCAGCCACACUGGCACUGCGACACGGGCCAGACUCCUACGGGAGGCAGCAGUAAGGAAUAUUGCGCAAUGGGCGAAAGCCUGACGCAGCGACGCCGC
rnacentral:rRNA from 1 species